rnacentral:rRNA from 1 species
CGAGUGGCGGACGGGCGAGUAAUGUCUGGGAAACUGCCCGAUGGAGGGGGAUAACUACUGGAAACGGUAGCUAAUACCGCAUAACGUCGCAAGACCAAAGAGGGGACCUUCGGGCCUCUUGCCAUCGGAUGUGCCCAGAUGGGAUUAGCUAGUAGGUGGGGUAACGGCUCACCUAGGCGACGAUCCCUAGCUGGUCUGAGAGGAUGACCAGCCACACUGGAACUGAGACACGGUCCAG